GCGGAGGGAUCAUUACACAAUAAAAUACGAAGGCCGUUCGCGGCUGGACUAUUUAUUACCCUUGUCUUUUGCGCACUUGUUGUUUCCUGGGCGGGUUCGCUCGCCACCAGGACCACAAUAUAAACCUUUUUUAUGCAGUUGCAAUCAGCGUCAGUAUAACAAAUGUAAAUCAUUUACAACUUUCAACAACGGAUCUCUUGGUUCUGGCAUCGAUGAAGAACGCAGCGAAAUGCGAUACGUAGUGUGAAUUGCAGAAUUCAGUGAAUCAUCGAAUCUUUGAACGCACAUUGCGCCCUUUGGUAUUCCAAAGGGCAUGCCUGUUCGAGCGUCAUUUGUACCCUCAAGCUUUGCUUGGUGUUGGGCGUUUUUGUCUUUGGCCCGCCAAAGACUCGCCUUAAAAUGAUUGGCAGCCGGCCUACUGGUUUCGCAGCGCAGCACAUUUUUGCGCUUGCAAUCAGCAAAAGAGGACGGCAAUCCAUCAAGACUCCUUCUCACGUUUGACCUCGGAUCAGGUAGGGAUGCCCGCUGAACUUAAGCAUAUCAAUAAGCCGGAGGAA
rnacentral:rRNA from 1 species